GCACAGCUGAGGAGUCCCAUAAUAGGACGAAACGGCCGUCCAGUAC
rnacentral:hammerhead_ribozyme from 1 species